AAAGUGCUCACCCCCGGCACAGCCGGACGUUUGGGGGCCUUCUUUCAGCAGGGGACAGCCUGACUGGGGUGAGCGUCCCCUGCCCUCCCCCCCGGGCCUCCCCCCUCGCCUGGCUGGGCCACCUAUUUUGGGAGCAGGAGUGGCCAAGCCCGUGGCUUUCCAGGCAGGCCUGACCCAAGAGGAAGGGAGCGUGGUGGGGACAGUGGGGUUCCCCGGGAGCGGGAGUGCGGGGCGCAAGUCCUCCCUCCCCUGCUGCAGAGCGUGCGCCCUGCUUGGGGUGGGUUUGGGACACUCACGUGUGUGGGUCAGAUUGCGUCACUGUUUGGGAGCACGGGAGGCUCAGAUGAGGAGUAUCGUAUUCGUGACUGUCUCCACCCCACAUCUUGCUCCAACCAGAGGUUUGGGGGGUGGGCGUUGUCACUGCGUGUGCUCGUGUGCUCGCGUGUGUGUGUGUGUGUGUGUGUGUGUGUGUCCCUGCCCCUGGCAUCUGUCUUCUGUCUCUCAGCCUGGCUGGUCUGGGCCUCAUGCGACUCGCCUGGUGUCUGCCUAUGAAAGUCACCCAGAGGCAGGCAGACAGGGAUGUUUUCCCCUGUUCUCAUCAUUUCCAGAAAGAGAGAAGGGGUGGCCUUCCCCACAGGGGCAGCCUGUAGCCGUGUGGCAGCCCGGCCUCACCCUGGCAGGGUUGGGAAUGACCCCCCAGUGGGGGAAGGAAGGCUGUUGCCAUGGUGGCCUGUGUGAGGCAAAUUCCUCCAGGGUGAAGUGGGAGAUAUUUAUACCCAGGGUCAGGCAGAGAGCCGGCCAGCGGCCGAGGGCAGGAGAGCUGGGAUAUCACACGGACGCAGCAGGGCCGUGGUGGGAGGGCAGGUGGGCCCUUGCAUGUGUCUCUCACCCCUCCCCGUGUGUCUGUCUCUCAGUCUGGGUGGGGCGAGCCAUCCCAGUCUUCCCAUUGGGUAGGUGUGGGGAAUCUGGCGCCUGCUGUAGGGCGGCCCAGGCCUCCGGGAGACCCCUGUGACUGUGUGUCUCACCCCUGCCCAUUGUGGCUUGUUUUGGUGACACUGUGUCUGCAUGAAGCAGGGGGUGCCCCUGUUUCUCAAAGUGGCCAAGCUGGAUGAUGGACGUUUUUGGAAUCACACCCCCCCCCCCCCGGGAGUCUGAUUUAACCCCUUGGGUUCAAGCCCCAAUGGUGGGGGUACUAGGAAACACGUUUCUUGACCCUUGGUGUUCUCCAGGACAAUGGCAUCUCUCCACCACAUCUUGGUUCUCUGUGUGGGUUUCCUCGCCAUGGCCAACGCAGGUGAGUCUGGGGUAGGUAGCCCGCUACCCACCUCGGCCCCGAGGGAGGGGAGGGAAGCCUUUCAAGAGAACCAAGUUGGAGACUCCAACUUAAACAGAGUCAGUGGGGUACCAGGAAAUUGGAGGUUUCACGUGGGGGAGGGGAGGGGAGGAUGCCCAGGGCAGACAAAGGUGGAGGGUGGGAUGGAGCCCCACUUCCCGCACAGGACAGAAUCAAGGACAACACGGGAUGAGGCGGGAAGCUGUAACAGUUAAGUGACCACCUGCCCCCCCACCCCUGCCCCAGGACAGUGCAGAUGAGGCAGCUAAGACCCAGAGAGGGGUGGACAGCCUGUUCAGGGUCCAAUAGUCCCCAGACUCUCAGCCCAGGACAGGAAAGCCCCCAAAGGUCUCUUUAUGCCCCUUCCUGUCCAGGGCCCCAGGAAGCAUCCAACCCUUGACUUCUUUCUCUUUCCAGAGGCUCCACAGGAACACGAUCCAUUCACCUAUGGUGAGGGAGGGAGGGGCAUCUAUGCUUGGGAGUUGGGAGGGUGGGUGGCCUGGGUUUGCCGGUCCUGUUCCCACUCCUCCUCAUCUCUCUCUUCCUUUAUCUCUGACUCAGUAUUUAUAUCUCUGUCAGUCUCCUUCUCUCUCUUUCUCUUGUCUCUCAGAAGGCUGACUCCUUCUUGUUUUUAUCUCCCCUUGUCUGUGUCUCCGUGUGUCUAUUUGACCCCUCCCUGUCUCUCUGAUUCUCUUUCUCCUUUUACCUCUCAAUGUCUUACGGCUCAUCCUCUGCGGCCAUCUCCCUUUCUCCCCUCUGUUCCCCUCAUCCUCUCCAUCAUCCUCCCCUACUUUCUUGUUUCCUCCCUCCUCCCUGCCCUGCCUACCUCUUCCUUUUCCUUCCCACCCCCUCCUCUCCCCAUCCCUCUUCUCUUCCUCCCACAUCUGUUUCCUCCUCUCAUUGAUCUCUCUGUUCUCCUCCCUGAUCCUCCUUGCCCCUUCCUCCCCAUUUUGCCCCUCUCCUGUCCUUCCUCCUCCCCUCCCUGUUCUCACUCUCCUCCCUGCCGCCCACAGACUACAAAACCCUGCGGAUCGGAGGCCUUAUCAUCGCCGGGAUCCUCUUCAUCCUGGGUAUCCUCAUCGUUCUGAGUGAGUACCCCCACCCUGCUACCUCCAGCUCCGAGUGGGUACCCGUAUCCGCCUCGCCCCAACCCCGGCUGUGUCCCCACGGCUCCGCCCCUCGCGAGCCGGCGCUGGCGCUCGAGCGCCGCUCGGUGCCCGCCCGGAGCGGAAUCUCAGCCCUGCCCUCCUACCCCCACCCACAGGCAGAAGAUGCCGGUGCAAAUUCAACCAGCAGCAGAGGUAAGAGGCCCCUCGGGGCUCUCACUCUCCUCCUUCCGCUCCAGAAGGGCGCCGGGAGUGAGGCAGGGAGUCCACUCGACCCACAGCCAGAGACCCUUCGGCAAAUACGUAUUAAGCACCUACUACGUGCCAAGCCGCAAGCCAGGCCCUGGGGACCAAACGGCGACUAACUAAACUGCCCUCCCUGCCUGGCUGAGCUCCCAGCCCAGUGGGGGCGGCGGCCGUGGGUUCCCGCAGCCCCACAAAUAUAAAAGCACAAAGCGUGAUAAGUGCUGUGAAAGAAGGAGCCACGGCGAAAUGAGAUCACCGCACUUGGCGGCCCAGUUUAGCUCAGAGUCCUGUUCCCAGCUCUUUGAUUCAUCUCUAAAUAAAAAUUUAAAGCAAUGUAUGAAUCCCUUCUCCGUGUGAAAACAAUUCUAAAUGUUAUUUUAAAGAAUAGCUAAUGUUUAGUCCCACGUGCUGAAAGAUAUUGUUUUAUCGUGUAUUAUGUUAUUUCCUCCUCACACCCCUUGCAUGAGACUGUCGUUGACAACCUCAUUUUAUCGAGGAGGAAACCGAGGCGCAGGGAGGUGAAGUCACUUGCCCGAGAUCACUCAGCUAGAAGAUGAGGGUUCUGGGUUUCUAACCUAGGCUGUCUCCAGGCCGUCUGUCCUCAAGCCCUUCGGCCAUCCCUCCCCCACCAACUUCCAGUCUCUUCCCCAGCACUCCGGGAGGCGCUUGGAGCGCGUCCUGCCACACGCUUAAACUGCUCCUGGGUGCGCCCGAUUUUCUAGUUUCUGGCGGCCCCCGAGCCUGCUCCUCGCCGGUCUCUGGCCCUCGGUACCGGGGUCUGUGAAAUGAGGGCUGUACUGGGGGGCUCCUGGGAGCAUCUGCCUCUCUUUUUCAUCCCCACGUCCUUCUGCCUCUCCUUUCCCAGGACUGGGGAACCGGAUGAAGAGGAGGGAACUUUCCGCAGCUCCAUCCGCCGUGAGUCUGGGGGAGACUUUGGGUGUUUGGGGGUGGGGGCUGGUUCCAAGAACCCCUUUCCUGGUCCUCUCUGGGCGUGCGGAGGGAGGGACUUGAUCCGACAGCGAAGGUCCGGGAGUUCCCCUGUCGCUCCCCCCUCCGCGGGAGCUGGGGUGCCCCUCCUGACACCCGAACUCUCCGUGUUCCCCCUCAGGUCUGUCCACCCGCAGGCGGUAGAGACACCUGGCGCGAUGGAACCCAGCCAGGUCCUGCAGCUCGGGCUAGGCUGGGGGAGGGGGGCAGGAGAAGGGGACGAAGGGUGGGAUGAGAUGGCUGGGGGGCUCUGUUGCCCCUCACCCUUUUCGCCCCCACAGGAUUCCCCUGGCACCUGGCGCCCCCCACCCACCACCUGAGCACCACCACCACCUGGACUGCCCUCUUCCCCAGCCCUGCCCCCACAGACUCCUCUCUGCCGCCCAGACUUCAAUAAAACGUGCUUUUCUCUCUCGACAGCGCUUUAUGGAUCUGUCAGUCCCUCUGCGCGAAAGCCCGGGCGCCCCCUGGGCCCCGGCAGGGGGCGCCCCCACCCUUGGGGAAGGGGCGGGGACGUCGGCAGUGGGCGGGGGCGGGGGCGGGGGUGGCCGGGACGGGGGCGGGCUCUCCGGGCCCCCAUUGGCUACGGCACCCCCCACACGAGGGCUCCCCCAUCGCCCCCCGACAUCAGUCCGUCCCGCUUCCAGCUGCCGCAGCCGCGCCUUCACCACCUCGGCCUCCAGCCGCCCCCUGCUCCGGUCCGGCAUGGCGACCCCGACCCAGGCCCCCACAAA
rnacentral:lncRNA from 1 species